rnacentral:rRNA from 1 species
GACGAACCGUGCGAACGUUAUUCGGAAUCACUGGGCUUAAAGCGCGUGUAGGCGGGACGGCACGUCGGUCGCUGAAAUCCCCCGGCUUAACCGGGGAACGGGCGUCGAUACGACCGUCCUGGAGGGGCGUAGGGGGACCUGGAACUUCCGGUGGAGCGGUGAAAUGCGUUGAGAUCGGAAGGAACGCCCGUGGCGAAAGCGAGGUCCUGGAUGCCUACUGACGCUGAGACGCGAAAGCCAGGGGAGCGAACGGG